rnacentral:lncRNA from 1 species
UUUUUCCCUUCUAACCACCCGCGCUCUCACACUUUGCCUCCGCUCCGCCGUUUCCAUGGCUCCGGUUUCCUACUUUCCUCUUGUCUCCUCCGUCCUCAGCCUGUUCUGUAAUGUGGGAUUUACUAGAAGAGCAGGGCUGGUGUUCGAGGAGGAGAAGUUGAAAUCCUAGAGGGAGGAAGGCGGGGAAGCCAAUACUACUUGCUAUUUCCACUGCAAUGAACGUCUCUGUGUCAUCAAAAUAAGAACUUCAACCCCAAGGUUGAAACAGCCAAGCAGAAUUUGAUGGAAAUAUAUUUAGGAACAGCUAAAUUAGCAGUGCGACGCGUGUUUUCUUUUCAUUGAAGAAUUCAGCCAGUUAAAACGAGUCUAAAUGGAAGUCUGAAAGCUUUUUCUUCAUUGUUGAGGAAUAAAAUAUUUCGUGUAUUUUUCGUUUUCCAGAUUCAUUCAUUUAACAAAUAUCAGUUGAGCACUUUCCAUGCCGUAGGGCCUGUACAAGGCACAUAGCAUUCUAGACAUCUGAAGCAUCAAAACUAAUCAUUUUUAUUUUGAAGAAAAUCACUCAAAAUAUUUUAUGUACUUUGUGCCUUUCAUGAACAGAAUAUUCCAAGCAUUCUCUGCAAAAUACGCAUGAAAACAAUUGGGAGAGAAGAGGUCAAUUAUCUUUGAGAAGCCCAAUUACAGAAUGAAAUUCAAUUCAUUAUUAAAAAUACAUGGAUCUAAUAAAGAAUAAAUAAUUGGAAAAGAAAAGUUUAAGGAAGAGAGAAACGGGAAUGAGAAACAAUUACUGUGGGCUCCCAAUGGCCUGGAGUGAAUCACCAAAGUAACCUAAACAUGAAGUCAUGAAAAACUAAGUGGAUUCUGCCUUUUAGUACUUCCCAUCAUGGGGGAAGUCACCAGCGACCUCCUUACUGUAUUUUGGAUGAUUCAAGAAAUAGAAAGGUGUCCUACUGACUUCUGAAACAGGGUGUCUUCAUAUUGAUUAGGGUCACCGUAAGCCUGGGAGCUGAUGCUUACUCUCAGGCCAUUCUAAAGUCCUACAGUAUCCAGAUGAGAAACGAGAGAAAGCAUAAGCUUUGGAGUCCAAAGAUCAGGAUUUUAGCGUCAGCACUCCACACCUUAGCUAUACAAUCUCAAAGCAGCCUGCACCUGUGGCCUCAUGGCGCAUUCUCUACAAUCAGUUGACAGAGGAAGAGAAGACUCAGGCCUGGUUUACAGAUGAUUUUGCAUUCUACGCAGAUCUUAUCACAAUGAAUAAUUUGGUUCUCUCAUCGACUACACGAGGACAGUCAUACUAUCUGCGAUGUGAAGCUAAUAUGCAAAAUUCACGGCACAGUGCCCACCCUAAUAACCAUCAGGAUCCAAGGAAUUCACAUACAGUGUACACACGUUGUCAUAGAAACAAUCUAAACAUAAAAACAAUCUCAACAGAAUGCUUAAAAACAAAAAAACCCGGUACCGAUUAUUUUACGGAGUCAUAGAGGCAUCAACGGCACUGAAAAUGUAUUAGCUGCAUUCAGUUCAUCAAGAACAAUCUUCAACUCCCUCCACCUGACUCGAUCAUGCCUGACUGUGAUGGAAACUGUAGUAUUGUCAAGUCAACCGAUGUUUGACUCGGGAGCGCAUUUCGCAAAUAUUUUUCUUAAAUAUCA